UCCCAAACCCCUGUGAACAUACCAUGUUGCUUCGGCGGAUCACCCCAAGCCCCUCGGGGCGCGGGGCCCGCCAGAGGACCCAAAACUCAACUGUAUUUUUUGUAUCAAAACGUAUUCUGAGUGGAAUUUUAAAUAAAUCAAAACUUUCAACAACGGAUCUCUUGGCUCUGGCAUCGAUGAAGAACGCAGCGAAAUGCGAUAAGUAAUGUGAAUUGCAGAAUUCAGUGAACCAUCGAAUCUUUGAACGCACAUUGCGCCCGCCAGUACUCUGGCGGGCAUGCCUGUUCGAGCGUCAUUACAACCCUCAAGCCCCCGGGCUUGGCGUUGGGGAUCGGCACAAGGCGGAGGGGCACCCCUAGGGAGCCCCCUCGGCCCGCCGUCCCCCAAAUUCAGUGGCGGUCACGUCGCGGCCUCCUAUGCGUAGUAGCAACACCUCGCACUGGAAGCCCCUCGCGUCCACGCCGUAAAACCCCCGACUUUUUAUCAAGUUGACCUCGAA
rnacentral:rRNA from 1 species